GACGAACGCUGGCGGCGGGCUUAACACAUGCAAGUCGAACGGAAAGGCCCUGCUUUUUUGGGGUGCUCGAGUGGCGAACGGGUGAGUAACACGUGAGUAACCUGCCCUUGACUUUGGGAUAACUUCAGGAAACUGGGGCUAAUACCGGAUAGGAGCUCCUGCUGCAUGGUGGGGGGUGGAAAGUUUCGGCGGUUGGGGAUGGACUCGCGGCUUAUCAGCUUGUUGGUGGGGUAGUGGCUUACCAAGGCGUUGACGGGUAGCCGGCCUGAGAGGGUGACCGGCCACAUUGGGACUGAGAUACGGCCCAGAGUCGUACGGGAGGCAGCAGUGGGGAAUAUUGCACAAUGGGCGGAAGCCUGAUGCAGCAACGCCGCGUGCGGGAUGACGGCCUUCGGGUUGUAAACCGCUUUAGCCUGUGACGAAGCGUGAGUGACGGUAAUGGGUAAAGAAGCACCGGCUAACUACGUG
rnacentral:rRNA from 1 species